UGCUGUUUCCCACCCUUUUAUGUCUGUCUGUCUGUUUUCCCUUAUGAGUCUGCUUUAAUUGCAGGUGGGCGUGGCUCUCGUGCUGGGCUCCUGCACGCUGUCUCUACACACCUGCACCUCGUUCCCAAUCAACCGUCUGUUAUCUAGCCGGUCCAGCACACCAGUAUUUGCCAGAUUGUCUGUGUAUCUACCGCCCGGAUCUGCCUGCUUCACCCUCACCGCUUCAGUCCAACCAUCCCUCCCUCGCCCCCCUUUGAACUGUUUAUUCCUCUAUAAACUCCCUUUGAAUUGUGAACAGUGAACCGGCUCUGUCAUGCUUUUGGGUCCAGCUUUUACGUACACCCGUAACAGUUAUUAAAGAUGGGAAAUGUUGCA